AACGAACGCUGGCGGCAUGCCUAACACAUGCAAGUCGAACGAGACCUUCGGGUCUAGUGGCGCACGGGUGCGUAACGCGUGGGAACCUGCCUUUAGGUUCGGAAUAACUCAGAGAAAUUUGAGCUAAUACCGGAUGAUGUCUUCGGACCAAAGAUUUAUCGCCUUUAGAUGGGCCCGCGUUGGAUUAGCUAGUUGGUGGGGUAAAGGCCUACCAAGGCGACGAUCCAUAGCUGGUCUGAGAGGAUGAUCAGCCACACUGGGACUGAGACACGGCCCAGACUCCUACGGGAGGCAGCAGUGGGGAAUAUUGGACAAUGGGCGAAAGCCUGAUCCAGCAAUGCCGCGUGAGUGAUGAAGGCAUUAGGGUUGUAAAGCUCUUUUAACCGAGAUGAUAAUGACAGUAUCGGGAGAAUAAGCUCCGGCUAACUACGUG
rnacentral:rRNA from 1 species